UACGUAGGCAGCGAGCGUUGUUCGGAGUUACUGGGCGUAAAGGGCGCGUAGGCGGCAAUUCAAGUCAUCUGUGAAAUCUCCGGGCUUAACUCGGAACGGUCAGAUGAUACUGCUUUGCUAGAGUGCGGAAGGGGCAAUCGGAAUUCUCGGUGUAGCGGUGAAAUGCGUAGAGAUCGGCAGGAACACCCAGGGGGGAAACCAGUCGACUGGGCAUCUACUGACGCUGAGGUGCGAGA
rnacentral:rRNA from 1 species